GGCCACUAACCCUCCCGACCUCUCUAAAAAAAGAAAAGUUGUGCACAACUCCACGCCCGCACGACCUUUCGCCCGCUUCUCCUCCUCCCAACCGACGCCAGCGCCGAUCCUCCGCCGCCCACCGCGCCGGCCUCCUCGCCGCCCCCAAGAACGACGCCGCCUAGACGCACGCUGCUCCUUUCCCUUCCCAAGCCGCCCUGGAUCUCGCGAUGGAGGUGGCCGCCGUCGUGGCCAUGGAGGUCUCGCCAGCCGCCUUCGAAGUCAUACAUCCCCGAUAUCGAUGGGAUUCCAGCCGCCUGGCCAAGGUCGUCGGCCCUCGACGAGCUCCUCCAUCACUUCUGGUUCCCCAUAGUGGCUACGGGCCGCCUCUCCCUCUCCAUCCUACGCUCCUCCUUCUCCACUUCAGAUUUCGGCUGAAGAUCGCCUCUCCCUAUUCCCCCUUCCAAUCGAUUGGAGCACAGGCGGAGAGCCUGGUUUUGUGCGGCGGAGAUGGCGCCCCGCCUCUGCGCCUCAUAAGGCUGGACGUAACUCCGCCGAGGCCAUGACCUCUCCAGGUAUCGAUCUAAAACAGGUCAGCAACCCAUUGGAACCUCUCCCUGUCUCUUUCUUCUCCAUCUUGCUCAUACAGAGUACUAUCCAAUGGAACCUUAGUUUUUGUAUAGUUAGCUAGCAGAGACUCAAUAGUAGCAUUUUUUGCCUGUACAUCAUAGCCAUGCCCUGGAGAGACGCAAAUUAGUGCAGUUAACAAGAAGCAAUUGACGAAGAUCUUACGAGAUGGCUUGCAAAUCCAGAUAUCAAACAGAAUUUUGGUAAUAUAUAUUAUGUAUGCUAUAGUUUGAAGGGAUGCUUACCAGGUAUAUACCACUCAAAAUCUAGGUCCAGUAACUAUCCAGUUGCAAAAUCAGUGCAAGUUUGUGUAACAAAUAUAUAUACAUCAACUAGAAUUUAGGUUUAAGUCUGUGGUACAAUUGAAAGACCAGGAGAAGAGGGUGGAUUGUACUACCUGAUCGCUUACUGUACAUCUGAAAGAGAUUCAGUUCGUCUGAAUAUUCUGAUUUUGCGACAUGGUCGCCAGUGAAUAGCGCCUUUAGCAGUUUGGUCAACAAGCAGACUGAGCCCAACAUAAAAUGGUUUCAUUUUCAUGAGUGAAUCUUACCUUAGAUGUUUAGGAGAAGAUCAGUAUGGCACCACAUAACUAUUGCUAAAAUGAUCGUUAAUUAAUGACAUCAUUACCAUCCAGCCAUCUUGUCUUUCCAAAGAACAACAUACGAGCUUCGUUCUCUGAAGUUUAAGAAUAAUACAACCAUCUUGCCUUUCGAAAGAAUAACAAAGAUAAAUAUAGAACCGUGUAAGUCUGAACAUAUAUGUGGGUCAAAAAUGUGUAGUGUGCUCCACCGAGAUUCCCAAUCUUGUCCACCAGUAUCGGCUUAUACCUUGGACUGAAAUAUAAGAGGUUAUCAUAACAACUAUAGCGAAUAUAAUCACUGUUUUCAGAUCAAAUAAAGAAUCGAUCUCACGAUGGUUGAUGCUUGAUGCAGCGGAGGAUCACAUGUGUACUGCCUGCAGUUUCAAUUUAACAGGGCAGUUGCCAUCAUCGUGAGACUUGCCAACUUCAGGAACUACAACGACUCUUUGUUCCAGCCAUAUCCGAUCCACCGGGCCGGAGCUUUCACGUACCUACAACGCACGGUGCUUGUAGCGCGCUGUUGGCGCCGGCCUCGUUGCCCCACUCCCGGAACCCCUCAAGCAGCUCAUGCUCGUUUGGUCGUGCAGGACGAUGCUGUAGCACUAUCGUUGGAUGUGAAUUGCAUCAAAACCGGAAGCAGCGUGCGCACUGGUGUGGCGUGUUUCCUCCUUUGCUACACUUUGAUUGACUGAUGGUUAGAUGGUUGAUGUUGCAGUCUGAUGAGGCCUAGGGGUGUGGCUUCUGCUGAAAUUUUUUACACCACCAGCUCCUGGUGAGUUUGCUAACCUGAGUCAUUAUAGAGGAAGUGAGAAUGUCAGAAGGGAGAAGAAGGAAAAACCUUGCUGCCGGAGAUGACAUCCACACCAUUUUGUGUGUGUUGGUGGAGUGAUUGAACCAUGGCAAUCAGAGCUGACAUCGCAUCUCCUUCCUCAUACACACUUUUUGGGAGGGGAGGCCGGGAGGCGGGACAGCCGGCAGCGGCGCCAUUCUGUUCGGGGAUGCUUGGAUCUGGUGAUGCUGGAGCAUGGGAACGGGAAACAUCACUUCAGCUACGGAAUUUCAAAUAGCCAAUUUACCUUUCUCCCUAAAGAUUUCUUACACUGCUGUCAGUAUCAUUGGUCUUGGGGUCUAGAUUUUGUCAAUAUCAAAAUCUGGGUACUUACCAGCAAACGAGUUGUUGAUCUAUUUACUCAGUCAAGUUCAUUUCUGCUAUGUUCUUCAGUCAAGCUUUAGAUUCUAGCCUUGAUUAAAUAGCAAUGAUAUUGUCCAAAACCUGCUAAUGUCAGAAAUCCUACUGCCCAACAGGAUUUCUAGAAUUCUGGUGGAUCUGGUCUCUAUAACAUGGUUUGCCAACCGCGGUGAGCACUGCUCAGUGUGUGGCAGCUUUUCAUUAGGAUUGGAGACAAGAUUUGGGAUGUAGGUGUAGGUCAAAUUUUGCAAAAAUUAUGGGUCUGCAGGUACAAAGUUACAUGCAGGAAAUUUUACAAUUUUCUGAGAGUAAAAAUUCAAGCUUGAAUUUGAAUAUAGUUCCAUGAUUUUUUUUGCUGACAAGUUAUCUUAUAUUUACUUCUCUUUCUAUGGUAUAAGAAUUUAUAUGCCUACUUAACCGUUCAAGGAUAUCCAUUUUGUUUGUCGAUUGGAAGUUACCACAUAUAAGCUUGAGUCCAUGUGAACUGACACACAGUUUGGAACAAAAUAAAACUUAGUGCUGUAGUACAGUUUGGUGGUUAAACUACUCCUUACCUCGACAUUCUAAUUGGCAUUGGUCAUGCAAGACCGCUUGCAUGAAAUUAGUGGCUUGCUGCAGUUGUACUCUUCAAAAAUUCUGUUGCUUCGGUUAACUAGGAGUCGAGAACUACAAUUCCCCAAAAGAUCAUAUAUGCUUGAUGUGUGUGAACAUAUUGCAGGCAGGCGGUUCCAAUGAUGGCUCAGUUCCUGUACAGCUUCACCGAGAGGCAUAUGUUGUAUGAGAUGUUGUAUUUUCACUUCUCAGACUGUCUGUAUUCUGAUUUGCUCGCUAGGUGCUUGAUAAAAUGCCCAUCCGAGCAAACAAUUUGUCCUGUGCUACCUGAGAGAUGCAAGUUGGAUGUGGAGGACAAUCAUGUACGACCCUUAGGUCCUAUGGUUAAUCUGCUUAACCUGGGAGGUGGUCAUCAAGUUUGAGAUGGCAAGUGUAGGUGCUAUGUACUAUUUUCAAUGAACCAAUAAAAUGCAUUGGCUAUUUUCUACUCA